GAGCGGUAGCACAGAGAGCUUGCUCUCGGGUGACGAGCGGCGGACGGGUGAGUAAUGUCUGGGAAACUGCCUGAUGGAGGGGGAUAACUACUGGAAACGGUAGCUAAUACCGCAUAAUGUCGCAAGACCAAAGUGGGGGACCUUCGGGCCUCAUGCCAUCAGAUGUGCCCAGAUGGGAUUAGCUAGUAGGUGGGGUAACGGCUCACCUAGGCGACGAUCCCUAGCUGGUCUGAGAGGAUGACCAGCCACACUGGAACUGAGACACGGUCCAGACUCCUACGGGAGGCAGCAGUGGGGAAUAUUGCACAAUGGGCGCAAGCCUGAUGCAGCCAUGCCGCGUGUGUGAAGAAGGCCUUCGGGUUGUAAAGCACUUUCAGCGGGGAGGAAGGCGAUAAGGUUAAUAACCUUGUCGAUUGACGUUACCCGCAGAAGAAGCACCGGCUAACUCCGUGCCAGCAGCCGCGGUAAUACGGAGGGUGCAAGCGUUAAUCGGAAUUACUGGGCGUAAAGCGCACGCAGGCGGUCUGUCAAGUCGGAUGUGAAAUCCCCGGGCUCAACCUGGGAACUGCAUUCGAAACUGGCAGGCUAGAGUCUUGUAGAGGGGGGUAGAAUUCCAGGUGUAGCGGUGAAAUGCGUAGAGAUCUGGAGGAAUACCGGUGGCGAAGGCGGCCCCCUGGACAAAGACUGACGCUCAGGUGCGAAAGCGUGGGGAGCAAACAGGAUUAGAUACCCUGGUAGUCCACGCCGUAAACGAUGUCGAUUUGGAGGUUGUGCCCUUGAGGCGUGGCUUCCGGAGCUAACGCGUUAAAUCGACCGCCUGGGGAGUACGGCCGCAAGGUUAAAACUCAAAUGAAUUGACGGGGGCCCGCACAAGCGGUGGAGCAUGUGGUUUAAUUCGAUGCAACGCGAAGAACCUUACCUGGUCUUGACAUCCACAGAACUUUCCAAAGAUGGAUUGUGCCUUCGG
rnacentral:rRNA from 1 species